rnacentral:rRNA from 1 species
UACGGGGGGAGCAAGCGUUGUUCGGAUUUACUGGGCGUAAAGGGCGCGUAGGCGGUCAGCACAAGUCAGUUGUGAAAUCUCCGGGCUUAACCCGGAAAGGUCAACUGAUACUGUGCGACUAGAGUGCGGAAGGGGCAACUGGAAUUCUCGGUGUAGCGGUGAAAUGCGUAGAUAUCGAGAGGAACACCUGCGGCGAAGGCGGGUUGCUGGGCCGACACUGACGCUGAGGAGCGAAAGCCAGGGGAGCAAACGGG